rnacentral:rRNA from 1 species
AUUGAACGCUGGCGGCAUGCCUUACACAUGCAAGUUGAACGGCAGCGCGGACUUCGGUCUGGCGGCGAGUGGCGAACGGGUGAGUAAUACAUCGGAACGUACCCUGUUGUGGGGGAUAACUAGUCGAAAGAUUAGCUAAUACCGCAUACGACCUGAGGGUGAAAGUGGGGGACCGCAAGGCCUCACGCAGCAGGAGCGGCCGAUGUCUGAUUAGCUAGUUGGUGGGGUAAAGGCCCACCAAGGCGACGAUCAGUAGCUGGUCUGAGAGGACGAUCAGCCACACUGGGACUGAGACACGGCCCAGACUCCUACGGGAGGCAGCAGUGGGGAAUUUUGGACAAUGGGGGCAACCCUGAUCCAGCAAUGCCGCGUGUGUGAAGAAGGCCUUCGGGUUGUAAAGCACUUUUGUCCGGAAAGAAAUCGCGCUGGUUAAUACCUGGCGUGGAUGACGGUACCGGAAGAAUAAGCACCGGCUAACUACGUG